CUGAACCGCAGCAGGUACGGCUCCCGGCACGUCGUCCCCUCCGGGCACACCGCCAGGCCCCCCUCCACCGCCAGCAGCCGCCGCAUCGUCGCCGCGUCUCGUCCCCUGUCCCGGGUCAGCCGCACAGUCCGCAUCGGCGCCAACGCCUCCGACACCCGGCUAUGUAUGGCCACACCGGCCUUGACCAUGUCCCUAAUCGGCAUUGAGAAGCUACAAUGCCUUUAAUCGGCACAGUGCCUAGAAGCAAAAAUUGGCACGGGCUUUGUCUCUCCUCUUCAUUUUUCUUUCUUUUUUUUCCUCUCUCGCAUGACCGACGCCCCCAAAUCCGCCUUCUCGUGAUCUGCUCCAAGCGGCGACAACAGCAACUCCGACGGCGUUUGAGAAGGGCAACUCAGAGGAGGACGAAGCUGGCCUUCAGCAUUUACUCCGGUGAGGAUACCUCUUCUCCAUUUUCCCCGAAUUAUCCAUCAACAGGCGGCGGAUUUAAUUAGGGUUUUCACCGGCGUGGUUGCGCCGGAGGAUUCCCUCAUCUCUGAUUUGACCAAGUCUGAAAUCCCUUGCCGACGUGGUAGCGAGAGCAGGGAAACUCAAAGGAGGACGGAGCUGGCCUUGAACAUCUUCUCUGGUGAAGCCUUACUGAAAUCCAACACUGAGGCUGUUGUGGACUUCCACGAACGUGGUUGCGAAUGCUGGCAUGAUCCCAGCAACUUCAAUCUUCAAUUCUGGCAGCAAGCUUCAUUUCAUCUCUCUGCUAUUCAACUUCGCGUAGUUUGUGUUGGUGGAAUCAGUAGAUCAGAGGGUGAGGACAGUAAUUUUUGUGUAAUCUGUUGCUCUUCACUGAAGUGUUUAACUGCGGGAAGAACCAGCCAUUAUGUAUCAUUGUCCGGGAUCAGUUUAGUCAUCUGUAUUGCUGUCCACCGGCGUUGCUGGUUCCAUCUCCGGGCCCCCUUGUGACAAAGGAGGCUUGCACCAGUUGCAACUUUGGGAAUCUGAAGGCCAAUUCGAGCUUAAGGGAUGCGGCCAGAACAUUCAACUUUGGGCAAGUUUUAUCCAGGGAGGAAGCAUCUGCAAGCUUGCGACGUCAAGUAAAAGAGAAAGAAAACCAGAGGAAAAGGAGCUGUCCACUGCCUCAUUUUGUGGAUUGGGUGCACUGAUUUAGCUUAAAGUAUACAACGGUGGUGAUUCCCAGUGGGACCUCCAAAACAUUCUCUCAAUCAUCUCCCCCAUACUUGUUGAUUGCUUAUGUGAGUUUAGUCCACAUUCUCUCAAUUAUCUCCCCCAUACUUGUUGAUUGCUUAUGUGAGUUUAGUCCUCUCAUCAAACAAUUUCACAUCAGUGCCAAUGAGGUCACUGGACAGCAGACAGAUCAAAAAAACAAAAAACAAAAAAAAAGCAAGAUCAUACCUUUUCCAUGUUGAUCCUAGGAAAUGGUUUCACAGAGAUGAUGAUAACAUUCUUAAAGAUGUAAUGUAUGCCCCUCUCCUUAGUGGCUCCAUCCAAGCCAGCAUAAUCUGUCUCUGCCAUGGGUGGGUGGGAGUAGAGAUGCCCCAGAAAGAGGCAGCUUGUGCCACUAUUAUCUCAUGAACAUGAGAACCAGGGCAUCUUCAGACUGCUGGUGGAACUCACCACUCAACAUAAAUGAGUACUUUGAGAAAAAUGCACCAGAAAGUAAGUGGUCCCUAAAGUCAUCCUAUUCCUUGCGAAAACAAUAGGUUCAGCUGGACGAUAAGCAUACACAUCCAAUUCCAUACUUCGUGAUCCCAUGAGCAUCAUGCUUUCUCCUUUUUCUGCCCCUUUAUCUUAUUGGAUUUCUUGAGUUUGGAUGAGCUGAUGGUAGGCAACAUCGCGAGAAGAUGUCACUGUUUUCGUGGUGUUGGAGCUAGAGGAUAUUUUUUGGGAAGGAAGAUGCACAGAGACAUGGUUGCAUUAGUUUACUGCCACAGGCUUGCACCAGUUGCACAUUCUGAUCUUCUUUUUGGCUGAGUUUCAUGUGGUAAAUAGUGCUCUUAUAAUGGUCCUUGGAAGAGCAAAGGUGAAUCUGCAGUGACAGAGUAGUGGAUUACAUUAUGUAUCAUUCUGAAUAAUUCCAUAGCAUUGCCUGAGGAUGAUUUAGUUUAGCUGUUGCAGUAUCCACUUUGCAUUGAUAAUCUUCUCUUGGGCAGAUACACAGAUGGAAGGACUGGGAAAAGGAUACGACAUCGGCUGAGUAUGCCUUCACGACUGGUAUAUAUAUGUUCACUAUUCUUUGUUUUUUUGUCCCAGAUUUGCAUCCUUGGAUCCUAGUUUGAGUGGUAAAAGUGCAGAACCAGUAUAUCGUGAUGCAAAAGGGAAAGCUAUUUCAAAGGAAGAGCUACUGAAACCAAAGGAGGAAGAGAAACCAAAGG